CGGGACGUGGAGAGUAGGGACUGGGCAGGAAGCGCGCGGUGGGGGCGGGCCAGUGUGGGGGCGGAGCCUCGACUCUACUGGCCCUGCUCCGCCCCUGGCAGUUUAUGGGUCUGUUAUUCCCUCUGCCCCGGCUGUGCUUGUUUCUCUGCUUUUUGAUAGCUGUGGAACAGAGCUGCUUCCUGCGUGUUCUAAAUUAACGUUUCUAACAAUUUAAGGUAAGAGAGUAGUUAUAAGGCCAAUUAUAUUAUAAGCUGAGAUGUUUUCCUCGAGUUGAGGGUGACUAAAUUCAAAAGCUCUUGGUGCCAGCUGGUGGAGAUGUGCCUUGAGAGCGAUGGACACUGCAAUGACAUCUCAGGAAAGAACUAAGAAGUAUCAUCGGGAGCUGAGACCUGACAACGAGUAAGAAGGACCAUCGUUUACAUUUAUUCUAUUGCCACAGUACACUUCACAUCUUCACAGCAUGGAGCCCAAUGUGGAGGGCCUGAACUCAUGACCCUGAGAUCAAGACCUGAGCUGAGAUCAGGAGUCGGAUGCUUAACCCGCUGAGCCACUCAGAUACUCCAAGAUUGAGAGAUUUUAUAUAACUUCUAGAGGAACCUGGCUCAGAAGAAGAAUUUCACUCCUUGGGAUUUUGAAGAAUGACCGCCAUUGAUUUGAGUGUGCAGGAAUGUGUCCAUUGGCACUGUCUGCCUCUUGAGCCUCUUCCAGAUGAUCAUCAUCAGUCCCAGGGAUUCCAGGUUGUUCAGAGAUGGAAAGAGUAAAACACGGCCUCCCUUCCUGUACCUCCAGAAGG